rnacentral:rRNA from 1 species
AUUCGGUCUAUCAUGCAGUCGAGCGGAAGAAGGGAGCUUGCUCCCGGAUGUUAGCGGCGGACGGGUGAGUAACACGUGGGUAACCUGCCUGUAAGACUGGGAUAACUCCGGGAAACCGGAGCUAAUACCGGAUAGUUCCUUGAACCGCAUGGUUCAAGGAUGAAAGACGGUUUCGGCUGUCACUUACAGAUGGACCCGCGGCGCAUUAGCUAGUUGGUGAGGUAACGGCUCACCAAGGCGACGAUGCGUAGCCGACCUGAGAGGGUGAUCGGCCACACUGGGACUGAGACACGGCCCAGACUCCUACGGGAGGCAGCAGUAGGGAAUCUUCCGCAAUGGACGAAAGUCUGACGGAGCAACGCCGCGUGAGUGAUGAAGGUUUUCGGAUCGUAAAGCUCUGUUGUUAGGGAAGAACAAGUGCAAGAGUAACUGCUUGCACCUUGACGGUACCUAACCAGAAAGCCACGGCUAACUACGUGCCAGCAGCCGCGGUAAUACGUAGGUGGCAAGCGUUGUCCGGAAUUAUUGGGCGUAAAGGGCUCGCAGGCGGUUUCUUAAGUCUGAUGUGAAAGCCCCCGGCUCAACCGGGGAGGGUCAUUGGAAACUGGGAAACUUGAGUGCAGAAGAGGAGAGUGGAAUUCCACGUGUAGCGGUGAAAUGCGUAGAGAUGUGGAGGAACACCAGUGGCGAAGGCGACUCUCUGGUCUGUAACUGACGCUGAGGAGCGAAAGCGUGGGGAGCGAACAGGAUUAGAUACCCUGGUAGUCCACGCCGUAAACGAUGAGUGCUAAGUGUUAGGGGGUUUCCGCCCCUUAGUGCUGCAGCUAACGCAUUAAGCACUCCGCCUGGGGGAGUACGGUCGCAAGACUGAAACUCAAAGGAAUUGACGGG